GAGGUUGCGUUUAAUGGACAACAAUAUUAAGGGAGAAUCCGACUGUGCAGUAUGAAUCCUGGACUGUUAUGCAGCAACUUCUCUAACUCAAAAUGGAACGCUUUCUUUCGAUGCGGUGACUCGACGACAACGACUCCAACAGUGAAGGUGAAACCGAAAUAGAGUGAUUGAAGAGUGAAGAGGAGAAUUGAGAAAUGGAGAAAAAAAAGAUUGAAGAAGAAAACACCAAUGAAGAAAAAACUAAAGAACAACAAAGCACAGCAAGUUGAAAGAUGUCGGUUUGAACGACGUAGGGUGGAAUUGCUUUGAUUAUGAAGGAACUUGUUUGUGCCUUGUUGAAAAUAAUGUUGAUAGCCUCUCA